UGUGUGAGUGAGCAGGUGGGUGGGUGAGUGAGCAGGUGGGUGGGUGAGUGAGCAGGUGGAUGGGUGAGUGAGCAGGUGAGUGUGAGUGAGCAGGUGGAUGGGUGAGUGAGCAGGUGAAUGGAUGUGUGAGUGAGCAGGUGAGUGGAUGGGUGAGUGAGCAGGUGAGUGGAUGGGUGAGUGAGCAGGUGAGUGUGAGUGAGCAGGUGGAUGGGUGAGUGAGCAGGUGAAUGGAUGUGUGAGUGAGCAGGUGAGUGGAUGGGUGAGUGAGCAGGUGAGUGGAUGGGUGAGUGAGCAGGUGAGUGUGAGUGAGCAGGUGGAUGGGUGAGUGAGCAGGUGAAUGGAUGUGUGAGUGAGCAGGUGGAUGGGUGAGUGAGCAGGUGAGUGUGUGAGUGAGCAGCUGAAUGAAUGGAUGAAU